rnacentral:rRNA from 1 species
UACGUAGGGUGCGAGCGUUAAUCGGAAUUACUGGGCGUAAAGCGUGCGCAGGCGGUUCGUUAAGUCCGCUGUGAAAGCCCCGGGCUCAACCUGGGAAUGGCGGUUGAAACUGGCGAACUAGAAUCUGGCAGAGGGGGGUGGAAUUCCACGUGGAGCGGUGAAAUGCGUAGAGAUCGGAAAGAACACCAACGGCGAAAGCACUCUGCUGGGCCGACACUGACACUGAGAGACGAAAGCUAGGGGAGCGAAUGGG